AUUGAACGCUGGCGGCAUGCCUAACACAUGCAAGUCGAGCGGAUGAAGGGAGCUUGCUCCUGGAUUCAGCGGCGGACGGGUGAGUAAUGCCUAUGAAUCUGCCUGGUGGUGGGGGAUAACGUCCGGAGACGGGCGCUAAUACCGCAUACGUGCUGAGGGGGAGAGUGGGGGAUCUUCGGACCUCACGCUAUCAGAUGAGCCUAGGUCGGAUUAGCUAGUUGGUGGGGUAAAGGCCUACCAAGGCGACGAUCCGUAACUGGUCUGAGAGGAUGAUCAGUCACACUGGAACUGAGACACGGUCCAGACUCCUACGGGAGGCAGCAGUGGGGAAUAUUGGACAAUGGGCGAAAGCCUGAUCCAGCCAUGCCGCGUGUGUGAAGAAGGUCUUCGGAUUGUAAAGCACUUUAAGUUGGGAGGAAGGGCAGUAAGUUAAUACCUUGCUGUUUUGACGUUACCAAAAGAAUAAGCACCGGCUAACUUCGUG
rnacentral:rRNA from 1 species